AUACGGAGGGUGCAAGCGUUAAUCGGAAUUACUGGGCGUAAAGGGCGCGUAGGCGGCCCAAGAAGUCUCCGGUGAAAUCUCCCGGCUCAACUGGGAGGGGUCCGGGGAAACUCUUGGGCUUGAGGGCAGCAGAGGAGGGUGGAAUUCCCGGUGUAGUGGUGAAAUGCGUAGAUAUCGGGAGGAACACCAGUGGCGAAGGCGGCCCUCUGGGCUGUACCUGACGCUGAGGCGCGAAAGCGUGGGGAGCGAACCGGAUUAGAAACCCGAGUAGUCC
rnacentral:rRNA from 1 species